rnacentral:rRNA from 1 species
CUGCAGAUUGCGGUGGUGAAGAUGACAUGAACCGAAAGUUCGCAACGCAUCACAAACAUCACAUAUCCGAAUUCGCUGGGCUGUCCAACAGGACAUUCUGGCUACAGAAUUUCUUGACGACCAUAGAGCAUUGGAACCACCUGAUCCCAUCCCGAACUCAGUAGUGAAACGAUGCAUCGCCGAUGGUAGUGUGGGGUUUCCCCAUGUGAGAGUAGGUCAUCGUCAAGA